AUUAUUAGUCCAACUGGUGCUGACACUGGUAUUGUCAAUGUUAACAUUCCGACUAACGGAGCAGAAAUAGGCGGAGCGUUUGGUGGAGAGAAGGCAACGGGAGGAGGACGUGAGUCAGGGAGUGACGCCUGGAAACAAUAUAUGAGACGAUCUACUUGUACCAUCAAUUACAGUAAAGAACUUCCACUAGCGCAAGGCAUCAAGUUUGAAUAAACUGUUACUAAAAAUAACUUGUAACUAUAAAUAACUUAUCAUUUGUUCUGCUAGUUAUUAAUACAGGUUAUUAAGUAGUUAUUAAGUUUAGUUAUUAA